rnacentral:lncRNA from 1 species
GUGGAUGAAGAGUAGAAAACCUACAGUGGUUUUGAAAGCCCUAAAGCCACGAUGUCAAAUGGAUAUCUUCAGAGUCAAAAAUUUAUGGUAAAAGGCGAACAUGCACGAACAUCAACAACAAUGAAAGCCAUGUUGAGUGGCCCAGGUCAUUUUGCUGAGAAGGAAAGUAUUGAGGUCAAUUUGAGAGACAUCCCUUCACAAGUGCUGCCAAAAGCAUGCACAUAUUUUACCUAAAUAUUUCACUACACCUAAAGCUCCACAGAGAUUUCCAAAUUCCCAUUUCACCUGAAACUGCAUUAGAACUGUUGAUGGCUGUAACUUUCUAGAUUGU